AAGAUAACCAGUCCACGCCCGCCUUUCUUGCCGCCGUUUACAGAUUUCUCCUGUUCUAACCUGUUCUGUUCUGUUCUGUUUAACCUGUUCUGUUCCUGUUCUGUUAGUAAAUCUACGUUGUAAAGAACAGCAGUGGCCUACCCCGUGAUCCACGGCGUAAAGAUUCUUAGACAAGCCACAAGGUAACCAGUCCACGAACUAUAACGCGGUCUAGCCUAUAGUACUGCUCAAGAGUCAAGGGGUCGUUGUCGUAUCACUAUCAGAUAAACAGAAUCAUCGAAAAACCGAUUGCCAUAAGCAAUGGUUAAUGGGGCAUGCACUGAAUUAGAUGAAGAGCCUCAGCCUCAGCCACAGAUGAGAGUGAAGAUAGGUUCUUCUCCCACUACUACUGUCACCACACCCCUAAUGGGUCAGCAGCAAUCAGCCGAGGCAUAUUUAGCGAAACACAAAAUUCUUCAAAGAUUUCAGGUACAAGAUUAUAAAUAUAUUAUUUAGUAUACUGCCACCUUGAAGAGGCCCUACCCACAUUAAACGAAAUUCCUUAAUGUAAUUUUAUUAGCAUUUGUAAACUAAAUAAUUUCCCAAUGCUGCUGCUGUUGGCAGGAUAUGAUGUCAUUACUGGUUGUUGAACAGCCUGACGAUCCAAUUGGAUACCUAUAUGACAAUCUGUCGGAUGUAUGGAAGCAGUGAGAACAGCCAACAGCUAACAUAAGUUGCGAGUAGUAUUUCACUUCUACUAAAGUAAUGUGUAUAUAUUACUGUGUAUAUAUGUAAUAAAAUGUCCUGUUCAAUUUGUAUUCAAAUAGCACAUUUGUAUUCAAGUUUAUGUAGUGUACUGUAAAAACUUAUAGUAGCAAUUACAUAAUAAAAACACCAAAAGUACUGAU